AUACGAGGGUGGCAAGCGUUAUCCGGAUUUACUGGGUGUAAAGGGAGCGUAGACGGUAUGGUAAGUCAGAUGUGAAAGGCGGGGGCUCAACCCCCGGAAUGCAUUUGAAACUAUCAAACUAGAGUGUCGGAGAGGUAAGUGGAAUUCCUAGUGUAGCGGUGAAAUGCGUAGAUAUUAGGAGGAACACCAGUGGCGAAGGCGGCUUACUGGACGAUAACUGACGUUGAGGCUCGAAAGCGUGGGGAGC
rnacentral:rRNA from 1 species